AGCUUUUAAUAAAAAUUAGACUGCAAUUCUAAUUAAUGAAAAAUAUUUCUAAAGCUU
rnacentral:tRNA from 1 species